rnacentral:rRNA from 1 species
GACGAACGCUGGCGGCGUGCCUAAUACAUGCAAGUUGAGCGCUGAAGGUUGGUACUUGUACCAACUGGAUGAGCAGCGAACGGGUGAGUAACGCGUGGGGAAUCUGCCUUUGAGCGGGGGACAACAUUUGGAAACGAAUGCUAAUACCGCAUAAAAACUUUAAACACAAGUUUUAAGUUUGAAAGAUGCAAUUGCAUCACUCAAAGAUGAUCCCGCGUUGUAUUAGCUAGUUGGUGAGGUAAAGGCUCACCAAGGCGAUGAUACAUAGCCGACCUGAGAGGGGGUCCGGCCACAUUGGGUCUGAGAACCGCCCCAACUCCUACGGGAGGCAGCAGUAGGGAAUCUUCGGCAAUGGACGAAAGUCUGACCGAGCAACGCCGCGUGAGUGAAGAAGGUUUUCGGAUCGUAAAACUCUGUUGGUAGAGAAGAACGUUGGUGAGAGUGGAAAGCUCAUCAAGUGACGGUAACUACCCAGAAAGGGACGGCUAACUACGUG